GACGAACGCUGGCGGCGUGCUUAACACAUGCAAGUCGAACGCAUCCUUCGGGGUGAGUGGCAGACGGGUGAGUAACGCGUGGGAACGUGCCCUUCAGUUCGGGAUAACCCAGGGAAACUUGGGCUAAUACCGGAUACGUGCGAGAGCAGAAAGAUUUAUCGCUGAAGGAUCGGCCCGCGUCUGAUUAGCUAGUUGGUGGGGUAAUGGCCCACCAAGGCGACGAUCAGUAGCUGGUCUGAGAGGAUGAUCAGCCACAUUGGGACUGAGAAACGGCCCAAACUCCUACGGGAGGCGGCAGUGGGGAAUAUUGGACAAUGGGCGCAAGCUUGAUCCAGCCAUGCCGCAUGAGUGAUGAAGGCCUUAGGGUUGUAAAGCUCUUUCGUCCGGGACGAUAAUGACGGUACCGGAAGAAGAAGCCCCGGCUAACUUCGUGCCAGCCGCCGCUGUAA
rnacentral:rRNA from 1 species